GGAUGUGAGGGCAAUAUGACUGUGACAUCUGUCACCCCAUUGAUCGCCAGAGUUGAUUCAGCUGAUGUGGCUGGCUAUGUAGUUGUUCCCCUCAUACUUCACCACUCCAUGUGCAUCCCUUCCCAAGCUUUGCACUCACUCUUGAUGAAAGAGGAUGACCUCCUGCAAAAGAGGAUGUACCUUCUUUGGUCAAUGGUAUAUGUGUAGCUGGGCUUCCCUGCUAGAACCUCCAAACAAGCUCUUCAGGUCCAUUUAUAGAAAAAUAUCGGGUAGUCAAGCUUCCAAGACUCCAAACACCUCUAAAUGAGACAUGAUGUGUGAUAGUUUGUGUUUCUUA
ensembl:misc_RNA 7SK 7SK RNA